GAUUAAUUUCCACAAGUACAUGACAGAGUACAGGCAAAUAUGUUUUUAUUUUACUUCCACUUAUGAAUAUGUACUACUAUUCACAUACUGAGAGAGGAGUAUGUUUUAUUUAUUUUCGUGCUUGAAAUGAACAAUGAUAAUGCUGCAAGCGUCAUUUAAUUUAUUUAAUCUAUCAAGAUACAGUUUUGUAAAGUUACAAAAAUAUUCAUAAAUUGUUUUCUUAUCAGAUUUGUUCCUGAUUACAUAUGAUUGUUAGUAGCUGCUGAUCUUGAUUAACAACCACUUGAAAGAAGCAUCAUUUAUAUUCUUGAAAGAUCAACUUGCUAUACCCUUGCCUAAAAUUCUGAAAUUGAUCCUAAUUUCAGAGUAAUGUGAAGCUAGCAAUCAUGUAACAACUCAAUUCAUAUCUGAUUUGAUGAAGAGCUGAUGUUCCACCCUAGAAGUAAAAUAAACAAAAACAUCGGUUAUUUUUGUUUUUUUCGGAAGGAACAAUGACACAUACAAUUAUACAUAACGUGCAUGUGCACGUGCUUUAUUACUAGUGUGAACUAGAACAAGAGAGGAGUCAUUUCAUCUUGUCUGAAGACACUGGAGUCCGGCAAAUCUGGCAGGUCCUUACUAACAGAGAACCUCAACCAUUGCUUCUUAUCCGCAUACACCAGGAAUGGUUGCAGCACAAGCCCGAUAAGCACUGCAAGGAAGCUCACCACCAUCACCUUGUAGGACGCAAGCACCAUCACCAUGGCGAUCAGCAUGAGAGGAGGCACAAUCAGCAGAAUGGCGCCGACAGUGCCCAACGGGACUUUGAGGAUCACACCAAGCGCAGAGAAGAGGAUGCCGAUCAGAGGGGUUCCAUAGCGUGAUCUCUUGGCGAAGAAUUCGGGGAGCAUGCCGCGCUCAGCCAUCCCAAGAAGCUGGAAUGCAACCAAAAUCCACCUAGUAUGGUUCCAACAUCUGCAAAAUAUCCGUCUGACCAGAACUCCCGUACAACCGGAGCUGCUGCUGUACAAGUGAUCAGAGGGUAGAGGUGUCCCCCAACUACCACAAUUAGAGCAUAUGAAAGUGCCUUGGGAAUGGUUUUCUCUGGAUUGUACACCUCUCCAGCUAAUGUACUAACUGAAUCCCAAUUGUUGAUCUUCCAAAAAAGCGUAUUCAGAUACAGGCCCCAAUUCGUAUUACCCAAGUCCAUUUCAAGCCAUCUUGAAGGCUCAAUAUUUGGAACAGCUAUAAGUCCCAUUAAAAUGAAUGGGGAGAGUGAAAACACCCCAAGAAGCACUGCCACCCAGCCAACUAUCGUUAACCCUCUGUAGUUCAUAUAAGUAAGAGCAAUUGUGAGGAUU